GACAGAGGGUGCAAACGUUGUUCGGAAUUACUGGGCGUAAAGCGCGUGUAGGCGGUCUGCUAAGUCGGGUGUGAAAGCCCCGGGCUCAACCCGGGAAGUGCACUCGAAACUGGCAGGCUAGAGUAUCGGAGAGGUUGGUGGAAUUCUCGGUGUAGAGGUGAAAUUCGUAGAUAUCGAGAGGAACACCGGUGGCGAAGGCGGCCAACUGGACGAAUACUGACGCUGAGACUCGAAAGCGUGGGGAGCAAACAGG
rnacentral:rRNA from 1 species